AUUGAACGCUGGCGGCAGGCCUAACACAUGCAAGUCGAGCGGCAGCGGGAAAGUAGCUUGCUACUUUUGCCGGCGAGCGGCGGACGGGUGAGUAAUGCCUGGGGAUCUGCCCAGUCGAGGGGGAUAACUACUGGAAACGGUAGCUAAUACCGCAUACGCCCUACGGGGGAAAGCAGGGGAACUUCGGGCCUUGCGCGAUUGGAUGAACCCAGGUGGGAUUAGCUAGUUGGUGAGGUAAUGGCUCACCAAGGCGACGAUCCCUAGCUGGUCUGAGAGGAUGAUCAGCCACACUGGAACUGAGACACGGUCCAGACUCCUACGGGGGGCAGCAGUGGGGAAUAUUGCACAAUGGGGGAAACCCUGAUGCAGCCAUGCCGCGUGUGUGAAGAAGGCCUUCGGGUUGUAAAGCACUUUCAGCGAGGAGGAAAAGUUGGUAGCUAAUAACUGCCAGCUGUGACGUUACUCGCAGAAGAAGCACCGGCUAACUCCGUGCCAGCAGCCGCCGUAA
rnacentral:rRNA from 1 species